GGCCAUAGCAGGUGAUAGCCCUGUAGGCGAAAACAGUAUGAAAGAACUAGGUGUGCGACAAGUAGGGCGGGACACGUGAAAUCCUGUCUGAAGAUGGGGGGACCAUCCUCCAAGGCUAAAUACUCGUGAUCGACCGAUAGUGAACCAGUACCGUGAGGGAAAGGCGAAAAGAACCCCGGGAGGGGAGUGAAAUAGAUCCUGAAACCGCAUGCAUACAAACAGUCGGAGCCUCGUAAGGGGUGACGGCGUACCUUUUGUAUAAUGGGUCAGCGACUUACGUUCAGUAGCAAGCUUAACCGUAUAGGGCAGGCGUAGCGAAAGCGAGUCCGAAUAGGGCGUUCAGUUGCUGGGCGUAGACCCGAAACCAGGUGAUCUAUCCAUGGCCAGGAUGAAGGUGCGGUAACACGUACUGGAGGUCCGAACCCACUAACGUUGAAAAGUUAGGGGAUGAGCUGUGGAUAGGGGUGAAAGGCUAAACAAACCUGGAAAUAGCUGGUUCUCUCCGAAAACUAUUUAGGUAGUGCCUCGUGUCUCACCUUCGGGGGUAGAGCACUGUCAUGGUUGGGGGGUCUAUUGCAGAUUACCCCGCCAUAGCAAACUCCGAAUACCGAAGAGUGCAAUCACGGGAGACAGACAUCGGGUGCUAACGUCCGGUGUCAAGAGGGAAACAACCCAGACCGCCAGCUAAGGUCCCCAAAUAUAGCUAAGUGGGAAACGAAGUGGGAAGGCUAAAACAGUCAGGAGGUUGGCUUAGAAGCAGCCACCCUUUAAAGAAAGCGUAAUAGCUCACUGAUCGAGUCGUCCUGCGCGGAAGAUGUAACGGGGCUAAGCUAUAUACCGAAGCUGCGGAUGCGAGCUU
rnacentral:rRNA from 1 species